rnacentral:rRNA from 1 species
AAAAGAGGAGUGGCGAACGGGUGAGUAACACGUGGGUAACCUGCCCAUCAGAAGGGGAUAACACUUGGAAACAGGUGCUAAUACCGUAUAACAAUCGAAACCGCAUGGUUUUGAUUUGAAAGGCGCUUUCGGGUGUCGCUGAUGGAUGGACCCGCGGUGCAUUAGCUAGUUGGUGAGGUAACGGCUCACCAAGGCCACGAUGCAUAGCCGACCUGAGAGGGUGAUCGGCCACAUUGGGACUGAGACACGGCCCAAACUCCUACGGGAGGCAGCAGUAGGGAAUCUUCGGCAAUGGACGAAAGUCUGACCGAGCAACGCCGCGUGAGUGAAGAAGGUUUUCGGAUCGUAAAACUCUGUUGUUAGAGAAGAACAAGGAUGAGAGUAACUGUUCAUCCCUUGACGGUAUCUAACCAGAAAGCCACGGCUAACUACGUGCCAGCAGCCGCGGUAAUACGUAGGUGGCAAGCGUUGUCCGGAUUUAUUGGGCGUAAAGCGAGCGCAAGCGGUUUCUUAAGUCUGAUGUGAAAGCCCCCGGCUCAACCGGGGAGGGUCAUUGGAAACUGGGAGACUUGAGUGCAGAAGAGGAGAGUGGAAUUCCAUGUGUAGCGGUGAAAUGCGUAGAUAUAUGGAGGAACACCAGUGGCGAAGG